rnacentral:lncRNA from 1 species
AAAAAAAAUUAUAACAUCAUAUUCUAUAGAAAUUUUAACAGUACAUGUACUUGGUGAUCAAAUAAGUAAUUGUUUAUGAGUUCAUUUAGAAUAAGAAGAUUAUAAAUGAUUCGGACAAGCAUCAGAUGGAAUACAGAGAAAAUGGAGUAUCUAUAUAAAAACAAAGAGUAGAAAGAUACCAAAGGGACAUCCAAACUCAUCAAUCGAAGAUUAAUUAACAACGCCAUGGCUAAAAAGAUAAAGACUAACAAAAAACUAUUGUAAAAAACAACAUAGAAAACUAAAGAAUGAGA